rnacentral:rRNA from 1 species
AUUGAACGCUGGCGGAAUGCUUUACACAUGCAAGUCGAACGGCAGCACGGACUUCGGUCUGGUGGCGAGUGGCGAACGGGUGAGUAAUAUAUCGGAACGUGCCCAGUCGUGGGGGAUAACGUAGCGAAAGCUACGCUAAUACCGCAUACGAUCUACGGAUGAAAGCGGGGGAUCGCAAGACCUCGCGCGAUUGGAGCGGCCGAUAUCAGAUUAGGUAGUUGGUGAGGUAAAGGCUCACCAAGCCGACGAUCUGUAGCUGGUCUGAGAGGACGACCAGCCACACUGGGACUGAGACACGGCCCAGACUCCUACGGGAGGCAGCAGUGGGGAAUUUUGGACAAUGGACGCAAGUCUGAUCCAGACAUUCCGCGUGCAAGACGAAGGCCUUCGGGUUGUAAACUGCUUUUGUACAGAACGAAAAGGUCUCUAUUAAUACUAGGGGCUCAUGACGGUACUGUAAGAAUAAGCACCGGCUAACUACGUGCCAGCCGCCGCCGUAA